GUGGUGAUUAUGUGUUUCCGGAGUCGAGAGCUUCGACUUGAACCGAUCGGUUACACGUUCUAUAGCCGGUCCUGUUUGGUUCUCCGCUCUGUGGGGUCCUGUUUAAAGUAUUCUAGCAAGUUGUACUGCUCAACUUCCAGAUGGCGGGGAGAUACUUUGGGAGCAGCUCUUGAUGGAGACGACAGUGUUGCAGCUUAGAUUUGCUAGUUUUAUUUAUCGAUUUCAUAUUAUUUGGGAGAACUUUUGAGUGUUUAAAGUUUUAAAUUCUUCGAAAUUUCCAGAGAGAAAUUCUAAUACUCUAGUCGGAAAUUUCGCACUACUCUAAGGAUGACUGUAAUCCUUAAUUAACUCUUGACUGCUUUCCUAUAUUAUGCAUGAUGACGUCUUUUAAUGACGUA